AUGAAUGGCAGUGUUGGAGGCCACCAGGCAUAUGGAUGUGUCGGAGACCAUCAGGGACAGGAAUGACUGUGUUAGAGAUAAUCAGAAAA